rnacentral:rRNA from 1 species
CCGGCUGGUCUCGGAUCGUAAGCUCUGUUGCCAGGGAAGAACGUCUUGUAGAGUAACUGCUACAAGAGUGACGGUACCUGAGAAGAAAGCCCCGGCUAACUACGUGCCAGCAGCCGCGGUAAUACGUAGGGGGCAAGCGUUGUCCGGAAUUAUUGGGCGUAAAGCGCGCGCAGGCGGCUCUUUAAGUCUGGUGUUUAAUCCCGAGGCUCAACUUCGGGUCGCACUGGAAACUGGGGAGCUUGAGUGCAGAAGAGGAGAGUGGAAUUCCACGUGUAGCGGUGAAAUGCGUAGAGAUGUGGAGGAACACCAGUGGCGAAGGCGACCACCAA